CCUACGGGAGGCAGCAGUGAGGAAUAUUGGUCAAUGGGCGCGAGCCUGAACCAGCCAAGUAGCGUGAAGGAUGACUGCCCUACGGGUUGUAAACUUCUGUCCUUGGGGAAGAAGAACUGACGGUACCCAAGGAGGAAGCCCCGGCUAACUACGUGCCAGCAGCCGCGGUAAUACGUAGGGGGCAAGCGUUAUCCGGAAUUAUUGGGCGUAAAGAGUACGUAGGUGGCAACCUAAGCGCAGGGUUUAAGGCAAUGGCUCAACCAUUGUUCGCCCUGCGAACUGGGAUGCUUGAGUGCAGGAGAGGAAAGCGGAAUUCCUAGUGUAGCGGUGAAAUGCGUAGAUAUUAGGAGGAACACCAGUGGCGAAGGCGGCUUUCUGGACUGUAACUGACACUGAGGUACGAAAGCGUGGGGAGCAAACAGGAUUAGAUACCCCAGUAGUC
rnacentral:rRNA from 1 species